CUCGACACGGAGGCCAAUUCCUGAUCUGUGGAUCAGUGUGGGCUAACGUCGUCAAUGGGUAGAGUAAAUGAAGAACGCGGGUAGGUCGAUAUGGCUCGCUCUGUACGCACGCGCUUGUCGGUCGUCUUCUAUCUUGGUUACUAGGCGGAGGCAGUGGCGGGCUGGCGGCUAUUCUAGGGUUCCUGAAUCUCUCUGCCGGCGGCCAUGGAGUUCUUGAUGCAGCCGUGCAACAGUAGAACUUUGAUUGAAGAGUUGACAUACAGUGAAUUGCCAAUGCAAUCGGCGCAUCACCCUGUUUGGUCGCCGCCCAGGGAGGAAUUGGCGGCCCGCUCAUGGUUCAAGUGAAGGGGGGGGAGGGGGGCGCAGAUCUAUGCAGAGUCGGCCGUAGCACAGGCAAGAAGCGGAGAGAAGCAACAGGCUUCAGAAAAAUCCAUCGAGCAGAUUGAUUCGAAGACGCCUGGGUGGACACGAAGAGUCAGAAUUGGUGCUGUUGGGCCGGGUCGUGCCCCCUGCCCAGAUAGGAUGACAACAUUAGAAAAAUCAGUCAGGUUGUUUGCGGAAUCCCAAGGGGAUAAUGUCAUUGUAUCAAAAUUGGGGCUCAGUUUUGAUACGUUGGGCAAGGCGUACGAUUUCUACAAUCUGUACUCCUGGGAGAAGGGAUUCGGGAUUCGUUAUGGAAAGAGCAGGCUAAAUGUAAAUCGGACGAAAUGUAUGCAAGAGAUAGUCUGCGGUUGCGCGGUAUGACUCCGUACACACAUACGUCUUUACAUAAAUAUGCAGAUCUGUUUGUAGGAUAUCUGAUAUUUGGUAGUGUGUAAUGAUUGCAAGGAAAACCAAUAGUGGAGAAUACUCGAUCCUGCCGGUAUGAAUGUCCUGCCCUAAUCCAAUUGCUGCGAUCGAAGGACAAUGGGUGGUACAUAGCAAAGCACAGGGAGCAGCACAAUCAUGCCUUGUCCAGCACAUACGGUCAGACUUUGCACUGGCCAUCACAUAAACAUAUCAACGUAUACAGCAGGGAUCUGGUUAAGCAGUUGCGGAAGAACAAUGUGAACCUGUCAAAAGUGUAUAGCAUCAUAGGUAGCUUUUUUGGGAAAAUGGAGAAUGUACUGUUCACCAAGAGAGCAUUGCGGAACUUGUGUGGCAAAAUCAGUUGUGACCAGGCAGAGGAUGAUGUCAGAAAGACAAUGGAAGUGUUUCAAGAGAUUGGUGCUAAGGAUCAACAUUUCACAUACAGAGUACAAGCUGACAAAGAGGGGAGGAUAAGUAGUCUUAUGUGGGCGAACGGGAACAGCAGGCUUCAAUACACAUUCUUUGGUGAUGUGGUUACAUUUGAUACGACUUACAUGCUAAUCUGUAUGAUAUGCCAUUUGGGCUAUUUGUCGGAGUGAACAACCACUUCCAGAGCAUCAUACUCGCCGUCGUGCUUGUCAGGGAUGAGAAACAAGAAACAUUUGAGUGGGUAUUCUCGGAUUUUGUCAGAAUGAUGGGCGGUACUCCACCAUGGACAAUACUAAUGGACCAAAAUCGCGCAAUGGAAGUUGCCAUAGAGAAUGUGUUGCCAAACACAGCACACAGGUGGUGCAAGUGGCAUGUUUUAAAGAAGGCGAAGGAGUUGUUGGGGCCGCUGUAUUCUAAGAAGGGUGAUUUCCAAGCAGAGUUCCACAAAGUUGUGAACCACAUGUUAACAAUUGAUGAGUUUGAGAAAGCGUGGAAGAUGCUCAUCGAGAAGUACAGCCUGAAGACGCAUAACUACAUCACAAAUCUAUAUGAGAUCCGUCACAAAUGGGCGAAACCAUACUUCAAAGGAGUGUUCUGUGCAAAAAUGACAAGCACCCAGCGGAGCGAAAGCGCAGAUCACAUGUUGAAGAACUAUGUCCCCCCUGGGUGCCCUAUGCAUAUAUUCAUGCGCAAGUACAUGCUGCUUCAGUUUGAUAGAGAAGCUAAAGAAAAUUAUGAGGAGAAGCGAACAAGAAUUGGAAGGCCUCUACUACGAGCGAACAUGGCUACUGAAAGGCAUGCUGGACAGAUUUACACAAGAGCAAUGUUUGAACAGUUCGGACAUAUCGUGUACGAGUGUGGUGCAUACCAAGUUAUUGAGAAAGGGAAAAAAUAUGUUGCAAUCCACAUGGAUGCAGCUCGCAGAGAGAAAUGGUGCAGAGUUUCAUAUGAGGUUACAGUGGUGGAUGGCGGCUAAGAGUUUGAUUGCGAAUGUGGCCAGUUCUCUCACAUGGGGCUACUGUGCAGCCAUGUUCUGAAGGUUUUAGACUUCAUCCGCAUAACAGAAAUUCCGAAGAAACACAUAAUGAGGAGGUGGACAAGAGACGCACGGGACGUGCUUCCUGCACAUCUUAGCCAGUACCAGAAAGACAAUGCUGACAAGAAUAACCCUUAUGAAAUUGUUCAAGGACUGUGCUAAAGAAAUGAAGCCCUUUGAAGAGAUAAGAGAUGGUCUUGGUCUGGAGGACAGGAUAGCUGAAAGUGGUGUGGUCGUGAACAAAGAUUUUGCUGGAGCUGUUCAUGCCAGGGGGAGGGGGGAGGACCGCCGUUGUCUAGAAUGGUGACGUGCAUUCAGCAAAUGAAUCGGCUAAUGGGCUUGGUGGAUUGUUGCCGCCUGCGAAGCUGAAGGAAAUGGGAUGGCCGACAACAAGCACAGAGAAGGCGACGUACGAAGGGCUGAGUAAGAGAACAAGAUUCUGUACGAUUUGCCGUCGGCAGGGGCACAAGCGGACAACAUGCCCGGAUCAUGGUGACGUGCCAAAGCAACCAAGGAAGCCAGCAAGGUGCAAAAAUUGUGGCGUGGAAGGCCAUAGGCGAAAUAACUGCCACAAAGCUGGGCAGCUAAGGUUGGAUCAAUGAUGUAAUAUCUUGUUGUGUGGCUGUGGUAGGCAGAAAGAAUGAUGUAAGUUGGCUUAGUAAGCCUGUAUGUUUGUUAGUCUGGAGUAUUCAAAUUUCAAAUCGCAUGGGCGGGAUCCCAUGAGUGGCCAUCUACAAAAGGGGAGUGGAGGCGUAUGUGUGCAUUGUCCUGAAGUAACAGCAAGACCAAUUGUGAAGGAGUUGGCCGUAUGGAUCGACAUGGUUGCCUACUCGGUGCAUCAGGUCUCACCAGUUGGAAAGAUUGCUCGAUCGGUGGCUUGCCGGCGUCAGAGGGAGGUGCAGCUUCAGAGUCUCCCGUCAAUCAAGCUUCAGAAUCUCACUUAAGCGAGCCUGAAGAAUCUACCGUCUCAUCCCUCUCGGAAGAAGUACAAAUGGUAUAUGGGUUGGUCCAUGCAAGCACUCAUCCUUACGGAUCCGUUGUGAUCGAUGCAGGUAGAGAAGAAUCCUGAAACAGAGUGUGGAGGGGAUGAUAGUGGAGUCGACGCCGGCCAGCCGUCGCUGGCAUAUGUGAACAAGGGUUAUGGCGACCAUGAUCCUGACGCUGAAGAAGUGCUGGAGGGCACUGUACAAACUCCAGAUGGGUGGAAGAUGAUGUGGUUGAGGAGAGUAACUACGCCAUAUCAGUAUCAUUGCGGACCAAUCCCUGCAGGGCACUAGAGGCAAGAUCUCGUCAUGGCCUACUGACGAGGAAGAGGCGGGCAUGGCUACGAAGCUUUGGAGAGUUCUGGUGGAUCUGGGAGAGCAAUCGGGUGGAUUGAUGGAAUUAUGUAGAGAAGGACCGUGGUGAAGAAGAUUGGUAGGUCCAACGGGUGGAUGCAUUGAAUAAAGUAUAUGACGACGUUAGCCCAGAA